GGGUUGUGAGGUUAAGUGACUAAGCGUACACGGUGGAUGCCUAGGCAGUCAGAGGCGAUGAAGGGCGUGCUAAUCUGCGAAAAGCGUCGGUAAGGUGAUAUGAACCGUUACAACCGGCGAUACCCGAAUGGGGAAACCCAGUGUGUUUCGACACACUAUCAUGUCAUGAAUACAUAGUGGCAUGAGGCGAACCGGGGGAACUGAAACAUCUAAGUACCCCGAGGAAAAGAAAUCAACCGAGAUUCCCCCAGUAGCGGCGAGCGAACGGGGAGGAGCCCAGAACCUGAAUCGGCUUGUGUGUUAGUGGAAGCGUCUGGAAAGUCGCGCAGCAAAGGGUGAUAGCCCCGUACACUAAAAUGCACAGGUCGUGAGUUCGAUGAGUAGGGCGGGACACGUGACAUCCUGUCUGAAUAUGGGGGGACCAUCCUCCAAGGCUAAAUACUCCUGACUGACCGAUAGUGAACCAGUACCGUGAGGGAAAGGCGAAAAGAACCCCGGCGAGGGGAGUGAAAUAGAACCUGAAACCGUGUACGUACAAGCAGUGGGAGCACCUUCGUGGUGUGACUGCGUACCUUUUGUAUAAUGGGUCAGCGACUUAUAUUUUGUAGCAAGGUUAACCGUAUAGGGGAGCCGUAGGGAAACCGAGUCUUAACUGGGCGAUUAGUUGCAAGGUAUAGACCCGAAACCCGGUGAUCUAGCCAUGGGCAGGUUGAAGGUUGGGUAACACUAACUGGAGGACCGAACCGACUAAUGUUGAAAAAUUAGCGGAUGACUUGUGGCUGGGGGUGAAAGGCCAAUCAAACCGGGAGAUAGCUGGUUCUCCCCGAAAGCUAUUUAGGUAGCGCCUCGUGAACUCAUCUUCGGGGGUAGAGCACUGUUUCGGCUAGGGGGCCAUCCCGGCUUACCAAACCGAUGCAAACUCCGAAUACCGAAGAAUGUUAUCACGGGAGACACACGGCGGGUGCUAACGUCCGUCGUGAAGAGGGAAACAACCCAGACCGCCAGCUAAGGUCCCAAAGUCAUGGUUAAGUGGGAAACGAUGUGGGAAGGCACAGACAGCCAGGAUGUUGGCUUAGAAGCAGCCAUCAUUUAAAGAAAGCGUAAUAGCUCACUGGUCGAGUCGGCCUGCGCGGAAGAUGUAACGGGGCUAAACCAUGCACCGAAGCUGCGGCAGCGACGCUUAGGCGUUGUUGGGUAGGGGAGCGUUCUGUAAGCCGUUGAAGGUGGCCUGUGAGGGUUGCUGGAGGUAUCAGAAGUGCGAAUGCUGACAUAAGUAACGAUAAAGCGGGUGAAAAGCCCGCUCGCCGGAAGACCAAGGGUUCCUGUCCAACGUUAAUCGGGGCAGGGUGAGUCGACCCCUAAGGCGAGGCUGAAAAGCGUAGUCGAUGGGAAACAGGUUAAUAUUCCUGUACUUGGUGUUACUGCGAAGGGGGGACGGAGAAGGCUAGGCUGGCCGGGCGACGGUUGUCCCGGUUUAAGCGUGUAGGGGGUGUGACCUGGUAAAUCCGGUUGCAUAUCAACCCUGAGGCGUGAUGACGAUGCACUACGGUGCAGAAGUAGUUGAUGCCCUGCUUCCAGGAAAAUCCUCUAAGCUCCAGGUAACAUUAAAUCGUACCCCAAACCGACACAGGUGGUCAGGUAGAGAAUACCAAGGCGCUUGAGAGAACUCGGGUGAAGGAACUAGGCAAAAUGGUGCCGUAACUUCGGGAGAAGGCACGCUGGCAUGUAGGUGAAGUCCCUUGCGGAUGGAGCUGAAGCCAGUCGAAGAUACCAGCUGGCUGCAACUGUUUAAUAAAAACACAGCAC
rnacentral:rRNA from 1 species